ensembl:misc_RNA Metazoa_SRP Metazoan signal recognition particle RNA
GCUGGGCAUGGUGGCUUGUGCCUGUAGUCCUAGCUACUCAGGAGGUUUAGGUGGGAGGAUUGUUUGAGCUCAAGAGUUCAAGGGUGCAGUGAUCUAUGAUUGUGACACUGCACUUUAGCCUGGGCAACAGAGCAAGACCUUAUCUGGA